CUACGGGCCGCACCAGUGAGGAAUAUUGCACAAUGGGGGGAACCCUGAUGCAGCAACGCCGCGUGGAGGAUGACGCAUUUCGGUGUGUAAACUCCUUUUAUAUGUCAAGAAAAUGACGGUAGCAUAUGAAUAAGCACCGGCUAACUCCGUGGCCAGCAGCCGCGGUAAUACGGGAGGGUGCAAGCGUUACUCGGAAUCACUGGGCGUAAAGGACGCGUAGGCGGGUUGGAAAGUCAGGUGUGAAAUCCUACAGCUUAACUGUAGAACUGCACUUGAAACUUCUAAUCUAGAGUAUGGGAGGGGGAGGUGGAAUUAGUGGUGUAGGGGUAAAAUCCGUAGAUAUCACUAGGAAUACCUAAAGCGAAGGCGAUCUCCUGGAACAUUACUGACGCUAAGGCGUGAAAGCGUGGGGAGCAAACAGGAUUAGAUACCCUCGUAGUC
rnacentral:rRNA from 1 species